CGGUUGUAGAUAUGCCUUAUCCCGAUGGCCAAAGGAGCUAAUCACCCGUGUAAUAACUCCCUCCCUAAAUUCCCUAAAAAAAACUUACUAUAUGUAGUCUGAUGCUAGACCAUCGUCAGACCAUCCGGCAGCCGUCGGUUCUAUUAGAAUUGCACGAUUGUAGAUAUGCCUUAUCCCGAUGGCCAAAAGAGCUAAUCACAAGUGUAAUAACUCCCUCCCUAAAUUCCCUAAAAAAAAAUCCCUCCCUAAAUCACUCGCCCGUAUCUCGUCUUCCUUUCUCACCUCGCCGCGCAGGGAAUCUUCCCCGCCGUCGCCGCCAACCGCACCAACCCGGCCUUCCCGAUCCCGGCGAUCACCUGCUGCCUACUUCUCACCUCGUCGUGAAGCAGCAUAUCAACCUCGUCGUGCUCUCCAGAUCCGUUCGCCUGCUGCCUGCUAACUCCCAUAUCCGUUUCCCCCGCUCCUCUCCACCCCAUCGUGCUCUCCACUUAUGCGACCUCCAGAAAUUUCUCAUGCAGGUGUGCCAUCCCGACUCGAUUCGGUGCUUCACCAUGUUAACCAUCGGAUGAAUCGGCUGCCGGAGUCGGAACCAACGCCGGGAGAACCUGCAGGGGCUUCCUACAUUUUAUUAGUAAAUUCAUGGCCAACAGAGCGGAAGAUCAUGCUUUUCCAAUGGUGAGCAUGUGACGGUCAUCGAUGGUGGGGCACGACGUGCGGCAUGAGGUCGAGCAUCUCAGUGUCCAAUGUUUUGUCAUCGUUUUGGAAGCAAACUACCAAGACACACACACACUCAGUUAUCGAAGGUCAAGGGUGCCAGCCUAGUUGCUUCUCACUAGACUGAGGAACCGGGACUGAACGGGACUGUAGUGGCGGUGCGACAUAGUAGGCCGGAAGUGCACACAGUGUACACAUGGAAUCAUACUAGACAGAAAAUAAAGGAAGCACACUACAUGACACUGCUUGGAGAUGGAAAUGACUAUGGAUUAGGAAGCAUGGUUUGUAGUGUUGGAAGCACAAUUUUUAUACAAUGAAAGCAAAUUGAGCAUAUUUGUAUUUGUUGGAAUCACUUCCCUAAUAUAUAUAUGCUUCAUGUGUUGUACCCGUAAUAAUGGAUAUUUCCUAUCAGAAGGUCUUAUUUGGUUA